AUGAGCCGGCAGCGUACAGAGAAGGGGACGGAGGUGGAGGUGGAGGUGGAGGUGGUGGCGGCGGCGGCGGUGGAGGUGGAUGGGGACAAAUUCGACUACAACGUAGAGGAUUGUCGCCGCAGGUUCCAGGCCGUCUACCCUGGUCCAUACUUCCUUUUUCCAAUGUAUUGCGCGGUCGAGGUCUCUACCAAGGAUACCCUCCCUGGGGUGUUCCGCAACUUCGUGGACUGCGUCUGCUCGCCCAACGCCAGUGGAGAUCCGCUGCUGCAACACCUCAAGGAAGCGUCCUGCAACACGGCGCAACGGCCGCAGGAUUGUCCUUCAGGAACUCGGCACCUGGACCUAGGCAGGGCAACGUCGUCUGUGCUAUCCUUGUCAUCCUGGUCCAUGCUUCCUUUUUUCGAAGUCUGCGCGGUCGAGGUCUAUGGAAAGGACGCCCUCCCUGGGGGGCGAUCGGCAAAAUAA
rnacentral:rRNA from 1 species